AGAUAUAUUGGGUUAUCUUAUCUUUUAUCUUAGAGGAUGUCUUUUGGUUCUUUGUAAACAGGAUGACGUGUCUCAUUGUUGUCUUCUUCUUUUGGCGGAAAUUUCAUAUAUGUUUAAAUUAAAUGGAAGUAUACCCAAAGGGAGGUGAAAUAUUUCAUCUUUGGCACUUUGCAAAACAAAAUAAGGCUUAUUCUACUGUCAGAACUCCGGAUUAUAUAGCUCUAGAGGUUCUGCUAAAAAAGGGUUAUGCACUGGAAUGUGAUUGGUGGUCUCUUGGUGCUAUUAUGUUUAAAAUGCUUGUGGGCUAUCCACCUUUCUACUUUGAUGAUCCAAUGUCAACUUGUAGGAAGGUAGCUUAUUUCGUACUAUCGUUAUUUGACAUGGAUUUUUUGUUUCAUACACAUGGCUGGUGCUAGUGUUCUUGAACCUGCAGAUAGUAAACUGGAAGAUGCAUUUAAAGUUCCCUGAAGAAGCAAGGCUUUCGUUAGAGGCAAAAGAUCUAAUUAGCAAACUGAUUUUUAAUGUCAACCAAUGGCUAGGAUCGAAAGGCGCAGAUGAAAUAAAGGCUCAUAUUUGGUUUAGAGGUAUAGAUUGGGAUAGGAUUUAUGUUAUGGAAGCCACAUUCAAUUCUGAAGUUAACGAUGACUGUGCGAUCGGGUUGUGACUGUGCGAUCGAGUUUGAUCUCGGAAGUGGAAGCUAUGAUGUAAUGUGCCAUUGCUCAUACAAUACAACUUUUGUUGGAAUUGUAUAGAAGAAGCUCAUCGCCCUGUGGACUGUGAAACCGUCUCCAAAUGGAUAAUGAAAAACAGCGCCGAGUCUGAAAAUAUGAAUUGGAUAUUUGCUAAUUCUAAGCCUUGUCCAAAGUGUAAACGUCCGAUCGAGAAGAACCAAGGUUGUAUGCACAUGACUUGCAACCCUCCUUGCAAAUACGAGUUUUGCUGGUUGUGUCUUGGUCAAUGGUCAGAUCACGGAGAGAGAACUGGUGGCUUUUAUGCUUGCAAUCGUUAUGCGUUAGUAAAGCAAUAGGGAGCGUAUGAUGUGUCUGAACGUCGACGAGAGAUGGCAAAGAACUCUCUAGAGCGAUACACUCACUAUUAUGAACGUUGGGCUACAAACCAAUCAGUAGGCACAAAUUGGUCGUCUCAUAUUCUUAAUCGUUGGACCACUUAGGGCAUGUAUUUGAAAGUUGGGCUACAAAUUGUUCUGCAAGUUGUAGAUUUAUAGCUAUUUAAAAUGAAUGCAUUUCUACCUUA